CGACUUGGAGGUUGUUCCCUUGAGGAGUGGCUUCCGGAGCUAACGCGUUAAGUCGACCGCCUGGGGAGUACGGCCGCAAGGUUAAAACUCAAAUGAAUUGACGGGGGCCCGCACAAGCGGUGGAGCGUGUGGUUUAAUUCGAUGCAACGCGAAGAACCUUACCUACUCUUGACAUCCAGCGAACUUGGCAGAGAUGCCUUGGUGCCUUCGGGAACGCUGAGACAGGUGCUGCAUGGCUGUCGUCAGCUCGUGUUGUGAAAUGUUGGGUUAAGUCCCGCAACGAGCGCAACCCUUAUCCUUUGUUGCCAGCGAGUCAUGUCGGGAACUCAAAGGAGACUGCCGGUGAUAAACCGGAGGAAGGUGGGGGUGACGUCAAGUCAUCAUGGCCCUUACGAGUAGGGCUACACACGUGCUACAAUGGCGCAUACAAAGAGAAGCGACCUCGCGAGAGCAAGCGGACCUCACAAAGUGCGUCGUAGUCCGGAUCGGAGUCUGCAACUCGACUCCGUGAAGUCGGAAUCGCUAGUAAUCGUGGAUCAGAAUGCCACGGUGAAUACGUUCCCGGGCCUUGUACACACCGCCCGUCACACCAUGGGAGUGGGUUGCAAAAGAAGUAGGUAGCUUAACCUUCGGGAGGGCGCUUACCGCUUUGUGAUUCAUGACUGGGGUGAAGUCGUAACAUGGUACC
rnacentral:rRNA from 1 species